AUUCGAUGAUUAGGCAACGUGGUAGAUGUUCACGUAAAUAGUCAAACAGUUCUCGUGACGUUCCUGGACAAUUGGUUAGUUCUAACUCGUAGAUCUCAUGACGCAUAAGUGUUGAAGUCCAAAAUCUCUAAGUUGCGAACACCAUCUCAAGAAUAAAGCACUCAACGAAACCAUCGUGGAGAUAUAACCGACGCCGAUAUCAGUAAUGUGUACGCACCUGUACAGUAAUAUGAAAAAUAUACGAUGCAAAGAAACAAAUACAAAUACAAAUAAAUGCAUAAUCCUAAAUUACACGAUAUAUUAGCAACACAACAAGAUGCGUACAGAGAUUUAUUACUGUUUAUGACAAAUCUCUUGGUUGAAAGCGAUAUAUUCUAAGGCUGCAUCUGUAAUCCUUGAGCACCAGCUGAGAUCUAAGGAACGAAGUCUUGGCAAGUUUUCCGCGAUUAAUUCAACA